rnacentral:tRNA from 1 species
UCCCUGGUGGUCCAGUGGCUGAGACUCCGCACUCGCAAUGCAGGGGACCCAGGUUUGAUCCCUGGUCAGGGAA